GUGUGUUAAUUUGAUGAUAAUAUCCAUUACUGGUAGCAAUAUUAAACACGUACAAGUCUGGCUGCAACUAGAUUGGGAUUGAGGCUUUGUUGAGUUGAGUUGAGUAUUACGUUUUAUGAUCUAAUCUUACACUGAAAUUUCAUAGAACCUUACAAUUCUACUUCUAGAUGUAUCAUUUCAUGUGUUCAGAUGAUUCCUAUGCUAUUGAAUAUCUAGUGCAUCUUCUUUGCU
rnacentral:misc_RNA from 1 species